UAGGGAAUCUUCCACAAUGGACGCAAGUCUGAUGGAGCAACGCCGCGUGAGUGAAGAAGGUUUUCGGAUCGUAAAGCUCUGUUGUUGGUGAAGAAGGAUAGAGGUAGUAACUGGCCUUUAUUUGACGGUAAUCAACCAGAAAGUCACGGCUAACUACGUGCCAGCAGCCGCGGUAAUACGUAGGUGGCAAGCGUUGUCCGGAUUUAUUUGGCGUAAAGCGAGCGCAGGCGGAAGAAUAAGUCUGAUGUGAAAGCCCUCGGCUUAACCGAGGAACUGCAUCGGAAACUGUUUUUCUUGAGUGCAGAAGAGGAGAGUGGAAUUCCAUGUGUAGCGGUGGAAUGCGUAGAUAUAUGGAAGAACACCAGUGGCGAAGGCGACUCUCUGGUCUGCAACUGACGCUGAGGCUCGAAAGCAUGGGUAGCGAACAGG
rnacentral:rRNA from 1 species